rnacentral:rRNA from 1 species
CUACGUGCCAGCAGCCGCGGUAAUACGUAGGUGGSCAAGCGUUGUCCGGAAUUAUUGGGCGUAAAGAGCAUGUAGGCGGGCUUUUAAGUCCGACGUGAAAAUGCGGGGCUUAACCCCGUAUGGCGUUGGAUACUGGGAGUCUUGAGUGCAGGAGAGGAAAGGGGAAUUCCCAGUGUAGCGGUGAAAUGCGUAGAUAUUGGGAGGAACACCAGUGGCGAAGGCGCCUUUCUGGACUGUGUCUGACGCUGAGAUGCGAAAGCCAGGGUAGCAAACGGGAUUAGAUACCCCGGUAGUCCUGGCCGUAAACGAUGGGUACUAGGUGUAGGAGGUAUCGACCCCUUCUGUGCCGGAGUUAACGCAAUAAGUACCCCGCCUGGGGAGUACGACCGCAAGGUUGAAACUCAAAGGAAUUGACGGGGGCCCGCACAAGCGGUGGAGUAUGUGGUUUAAUUCGACGCAACGCGAAGAACCUUACCAGGUCUUGACAUUGAUGGACAGAACUAGAGAUAG